AAUCAAUCACGUGCACAAUCACAAGAGAAGCCUCGGCAAGAGAUGACACAAGAUUUUUUACCGAGGUUCACUUGCUUCCCGGCAAGCUACUCCUCGUUGUGGCGAUACACCCACUUGAUGGAUCACGAGCUAAUUGGCAAUCCAAAGCCAAACCCUCACCGGGUGCCGCACAUCCACUCACAAGAUGGGGAUCCUCCAAGCCACGAGCAAUCCACUAGAGUAGCCAAUUGCGAUCUCCCGCGGGGAAGGCUCAAGAACCCCUCACAAAUCACUUGGUGAGGCUCGAAACAAUCUCCAAUCACGAGCUCAACACCACCACUGCUCCAAGCCGUCUAGGGCGUCGGGAAACACCCAAGAGUAACAAGAAAUUCGCAGCAAACUCAAGAAUCAAGUGCCACUAAAUGCAACUCUCAAAGCAAUGCACUUGAAUCUCACU
rnacentral:lncRNA from 1 species